UACGAAGGGGGCUAGCGUUGCUCGGAAUUACUGGGCGUAAAGGGCGUGCAGGCGGUUUGUUAAGUGCAGGGUGAAAGCUCCCGGCUCAACUGGGAGAGGUCCUUGCAUACUGGCGAACUCGAGGGAGGCAGAGGAAAGUGGAAUUCCCGGUGUAGUGGUGAUAUGCGUAGAUAUCGGGAGGAACACCUGUGGCGAAGGCGGCUUUCUGGGCCUUACCUGACGCUGAGACGCGAAAGCGUGGGGAGCGAACCGG
rnacentral:rRNA from 1 species